UACGAAGGGGGCUAGCGUUGUUCGGAAUUACUGGGCGUAAAGCGCGUGUAGGCGGGUCUUUAAGUCAGGGUGAAAUGCCAAGGCUCAACCUUGGAACUGCCUUGAUACUGGAGAUCUUGAGUCCGGGAGAGGUGAGUGGAACUGCGAGUGUAGAGGUGAAAUUCGUAGAUAUUCGCAAGAACACCAGUGGCGAAGGCGGCUCACUGGCCCGGAACUGACGCUGAGACGGCGAA
rnacentral:rRNA from 1 species